UACAGAGGUCUCAAGCGUUGUUCGGAAUCACUGGGCGUAAAGGGUGCGUAGGUGGCGCAAAAAGUCAGAUGUGAAAUCCGGAGGCUCAACCUCCGAAUUGCAUCCGAAACUCUUGUGCUUGAGAGUUGUAGAGGAGCUUGGAACUCUCGGUGUAGCAGUGAAAUGCGUAGAUAUCGAGAAGAACGCUCGCAGCGAAAGCGAGGCUCUGGGCAAUUUCUGGCACUGAUGCACGAAGGCUAGGGGAGCAAACGGG
rnacentral:rRNA from 1 species